CCACCCCAGGACGUGGUUCUGAGCUGUGUGGCACACACGCUGUCCUCGGACAGAUGUGCCAUUGAGCUGUGGAAGGCCCUGGGGGAAGAACCACAGCUCCCCAGGGAGGUGCUGCAGCAGCUGCUGGACAAGCUCCAGCAGAGACACCGGGAGGAGAAGAGCGGCAAUGUGUCUCUGGCUGCAAUGAGGACCAUUUACGAGGUCCUUUCCUAUGGGGAUACCGAGAAGCCAUCCUGGAAAUGUAUCCCCAGAUGCUCAUCCUCUGCGUCAGGCAAGUGCAGUAUGUGAUGGAUCUGCACUUGCCAGGGACCUACAUGGCCAGCACGACAUCCAGCCCCGAGGAGGGAUCCAGCUGCCUCAACCCCCUAAGCACGUCGGUGGAGGCUGUGAAGACUCUUUUUUCCAUGCCCGGAUACUGGAAGGAAUUUGCCAGCAUCCAAUUUCAGCAGGGUUGGGACAUGAUAGCCUCACGAUAUUACUACU